rnacentral:snRNA from 1 species
GUGCUCGUUUCAGCAGCGCAUAUACUAAAAUUGGAACCAUACAGAGAUUAGCAUGCCCCUGCACAAGGAUGACACGAAAAUUCGUGAAGCAUUCCAUAUCUUA